rnacentral:lncRNA from 1 species
CACUGCAGUGUCUGACCAGAACCCAAACUGAGUGUUUUCCCUUGCUGAUGCUGGCAGUGUGAACAGAAGAACAGCCUCGCACAGAAGAGCUCACUGUCCUGAAGAUGUCUUGAGUUAUUUCACCAGGGCAGCAGCAACAAUCAAGCUGUUUUUCAGCAUCAAGCACCCCUUUCAAGAAGCAUGAGUUUAUGGGAGGGGAUUUCAGAGGGUGCACCACCACUUAAGCAUCAGCAUGCAGAAAACCUCAUAACAUCCUUGCCUCAUGACUUCAGUACUUCCUUCUGCUGUGCUGGUGCCUCGUGCCUCCAGGGAGGGUUACGCAAAGGGCAUGCCCCACACCCUCUUCUCCACCAGGCUGCCAGGAAUGGGCAAACACGGGAAUGGGCGGAGGGGGAGCUGUAAGAAAAUAAAGGGAAGUAGGUAAAACUUCUGUAGC